rnacentral:rRNA from 1 species
GUAGGUGGCAAGCGUUGUCCGGAAUUAUUGGGCGUAAAGCGCGCGCAGGCGGUCCUUUAAGUCUGAUGUGAAAGCCCACGGCUCAACCGUGGAGGGUCAUUGGAAACUGGGGGACUCGAGUACAGAAGAGGAAAGCGGAAUUCCAAGUGUAGCGGUGAAAUGCGUAGAGAUUUGGAGGAACACCAGUGGCGAAGGCGGCUUUCUGGUCUGUAACUGACGCUGAGGCGCGAAAGCGUGGGGAGCAAACAGGAUUAGAUACCCUGGUAGUCCACGCCGUAAACGAUGAGUGCUAAGUGUUAGGGGGUUUCCCGCCCCCUUAGUGCUGCAGCUAACGCAUUAAGCACUCCGCCUGGGGAGUACGGCCGCAAGGCUG